rnacentral:rRNA from 1 species
UACAGAGGGUGCAAGCGUUAAUCGGAAUUACUGGGCGUAAAGCGUGCGUAGACGGUAGCGUAAGUCGGGUGUGAAAGCCCCGGGCUCAACCUGGGAAUUGCAUUCGAGACUGCUCUGCUAGGGUGCGGAAGAGGGGAGCGGAAUUUCCGGUGUAGCGGUGAAAUGCGUAGAUAUCGGAAGGAACACCAGUGGCGAAAGCGGCUCCCUGGUCCAGCACCGACGUCAGGCACGAAAGCGUGGGGAGCAAACAGG